GAUGAACGCAGGCGGCGUGCCUAAUACAUGCAAGUCGAGCGAAUGGAUUAAGAGCUUGCUCUUAUGAAGUUAGCGGCGGACGGGUGAGUAACACGUGGGUAACCUGCCCAUAAGACUGGGAUAACUCCGGGAAACCGGGGCUAAUACCGGAUAACAUUUUGAACCGCAUGGUUCGAAAUUGAAAGGCGGCUUCGGCUGUCACUUAUGGAUGGACCCGCGUCGCAUUAGCUAGUUGGUGAGGUAACGGCUCACCAAGGCAACGAUGCGUAGCCGACCUGAGAGGGUGAUCGGACACACUGGGACUGAGACACGGCCCAGACUCCUACGGGAGGCAGCAGUAGGGAAUCUUCCGCAAUGGACGAAAGUCUGACGGAGCAACGCCGCGUGAGUGAUGAAGGCUUUCGGGUCGUAAAACUCUGUUGUUAGGGAAGAACAAGUGCUAGUUGAAUAAGCUGGCACCUUGACGGUACCUAGCCAAAAAGCCACGGCUAACUACGUGCCAGCAGCCGCAGUAA
rnacentral:rRNA from 1 species